rnacentral:rRNA from 1 species
UACGUAGGGUGCGAGCGUUGUCCGGAAUUAUUGGGCGUAAAGAGCUCGUAGGCGGUUUGUCGCGUCGGCUGUGAAAACCUGGGGCUUAACUCCGGGCCUGCAGCCGAUACGGGCAGACUAGAGUUCGGCAGGGGAGACUGGAAUUCCUGGUGUAGCGGUGAAAUGCGCAGAUAUCGGCAGGAACACCCAGGGGGAAACCAGUCGACUGGGCAUCUACUGACGCUGAGGUGCGAGAGCGUGGGGAGCGAACCGG